rnacentral:rRNA from 1 species
UACGUAGGGGGCAAGCGUUGUCCGGAAUCAUUGGGCGUAAAGAGCGUGUAGGCGGCUUGGUAAGUCCGCUGUGAAAGUCCAGGGCUCAACCCUGGAAUGCCGGUGGAAACUGUCAGGCUCGAGUCCGGAAGAGGCGAGUGGAAUUCCUGGUGUAGCGGUGAAAUGCGCAGAUAUCAGGAGGAACACCAAUGGCGAAGGCGACUCUUUGGUCUGUAACUGACGCUGAGGCGCGAAAGCGUGGGGAGCAAACAGG